AGAGUUUGAUCCUGGCUCAGAUCAACGCUGNNGGCGCGCUUAACACAUGCAAGUCGAACGAGAAAGGGGAGAAAUCCCUGAGUACAGUGGCGUACGGGUGAGUAACACGUGGGUGAUCUACCUGUUAGUGGGGAAUAACUCCGCGAAAGUGAAGCUAAUACCGCAUAAUCCCGCAAGGGGAAAGUAGUAAUACGCUGACAGAGGAGCCCGCGGCUGAUUAGCUAGUUGGUGAGGUAAUGGCUCACCAAGGCUGCGAUCGGUAGCCGGCCUGAGAGGGCACACGGCCACACUGGCACUGAAACACGGGCCAGACUCCUACGGGAGGCAGCAGUGGGGAAUCUUGCACAAUGGGGGAAACCCUGAUGCAGCGACGCCGCGUGAGCGAUGAAGUCCUUCGGGAUGUAAAGCUCUUUCGACGGGAACGAUAAUGACGGUACCCGGAGAAGAAGCUGCGGCUAACUACGUGCCAGCAGCCGCGGUAAUACGUAGGCAGCGAGCGUUGUUCGGAAUUACUGGGCGUAAAGAGUGUGUAGGCGGUUUGGUAAGUUUGGUGUGAAAUCUCCCGGCUUAACUGGGAGGGUGCGCCGAAAACUGCCAGACUAGAGUGCCGGAGAGGAAAGCGGAAUUCCUGGUGUAGCGGUGAAAUGCGUAGAUAUCAGGAGGAACCCGGUGGUGUAGACGGCUUUCUGGACGGCCACUGACGCUGAGACACGAAAGCGUGGGGAGCAAACAGGAUUAGAUACCCUAGUAGUCC
rnacentral:rRNA from 1 species